CCGUUCCGUACCGUCAAGAAUUUUAUUGACAAUGAGUUACGAUGAAUCAGAACGGCUUGCAGAGGCGGCGGAAACUGAAGUUACAGGCAUUACAAUCGGUGUUUGUUAUUGUAAUGGAAGUUAAGUUGCCAUAUUGGUCAGCCCGCCAAGCCCCGCAAGCCAUACGUCACUUCCACUAACCGCCCUGCGAUAGCAGCGCCACC